rnacentral:rRNA from 1 species
AUUGAACGCUGGCGGCAUGCCUUACACAUGCAAGUCGAACGGUAACGGGCCUUCGGGUGCCGACGAGUGGCGAACGGGUGAGUAAUGUAUCGGAACGUACCUUUCAGUGGGGGAUAACGUAGCGAAAGUUACGCUAAUACCGCAUAUUCUGUGCGCAGGAAAGCAGGGGAUCGCAAGACCUUGCGCGGAUUGAGCGGCCGAUAUCAGAUUAGCUAGUUGGUGAGGUAAAGGCUCACCAAGGCGACGAUCUGUAGCGGGUCUGAGAGGAUGAUCCGCCACACUGGAAAUGAGACACGGUCCAGACUCCUACGGGAGGCAGCAGUGGGGAAUUUUGGACAAUGGGGGCAACCCUGAUCCAGCCAUGCCGCGUGAGUGAAGAAGGCCUUCGGGUUGUAAAGCUCUUUCGGCCGGGAAGAAAUCGUAUGGGCUAAUACCCUGUGCGGAUGACGGUACCGGCAUAAGAAGCACCGGCUAACUACGUGCCAGCCGCCGCAGUAAAAC